CAACAUUGAUACAACAUUGAGAUAUUUAUUGCAGUGAUAAGUUAAAAAAAACUGGCGCUGAAACGUUCUCUUCAAAAUGGUGGCGAUCACCGUCGUCACUCACUUGCUUGCGGCAAAGAGAAAAAGUGCUGCCGGUGGCGUCAUGUAGCGUCAUGACUUGAAACAGGGCCCGGAGUGCGAGGCUCGACAGGCGACUCAACCCCCACGGCCCUGACUCAACCGCUCAAGAUGUGAAGAUGGCGGAGACUGAGCGGCGGCCGAGGUUGUGUGACGUGAUAUGUGAAGUGUAACUGACUCGAAAAAAGUGAAGAACUGUGCAUA